CAAAGGGUUAAUGCCCCUUAGUACGGCGAGUGAAGCGGCAACAGCUCAAAUUUGAAAGCUAGCCUUCGGGUUCGCAUUGUAAUUUGUAGAGGAUGAUUUGGGGAAGCCGCCUGUCUAAGUUCCUUGGAACAGGACGUCAUAGAGGGUGAGAAUCCCGUAUGUGACAGGAAAUGGCACCCUAUGUAAAUCUCCUUCGACGAGUCGAGUUGUUUGGGAAUGCAGCUCUAAAUGGGAGGUAAAUUUCUUCUAAAGCUAAAUAUUGGCGAGAGACCGAUAGCGCACAAGUAGAGUGAUCGAAAGAUGAAAAGCACUUUGGAAAGAGAGUUAAAAAGCACGUGAAAUUGUUGAAAGGGAAGCGCUUGCAAUCAGACUUGUUUAAACUGUUCGGCCGGUCUUCUGACCGGUUUACUCAGUUUGGACAGGCCAGCAUCAGUUUCGGCGGCCGGAUAAAGGCUCUGGGAAUGUGGCCUCCACUUCGGUGGAGGUGUUAUAGCCCAGGGUGUAAUACGGCCAGCCGGGACUGAGGUCCGCGCUUCGGCUAGGAUGCUGGCGUAAUGGUUGUAAGCGACCGCUAAAAAAAAGGCCAAAAAAUUAAGCCCCCCCCAAAGGG
rnacentral:rRNA from 1 species